rnacentral:rRNA from 1 species
GAGUAAUGUCUGGGAAACUGCCUGAUGGAGGGGGAUAACUACUGGAAACGGUGGCUAAUACCGCAUAACGUCGCAAGACCAAAGAGGGGGACCUUCGGGCCUCUUGCCAUCAGAUGUGCCCAGAUGGGAUUAGCUUGUUGGUGAGGUAACGGCUCACCAAGGCGACGAUCCCUAGCUGGUCUGAGAGGAUGACCAGCCACACUGGAACUGAGACACGGUCCAGACUCCUACGGGAGGCAGCAGUGGGGAAUAUUGCACAAUGGGCGCAAGCCUGAUGCAGCCAUGCCGCGUGUAUGAAGAAGGCCUUCGGGUUGUAAAGUACUUUCAGCGGGGAGGAAGGUGUUGUGGUUAAUAACCGCAGCAAUUGACGUUACCCGCAGAAGAAGCACCGGCUAACUCCGUGCCAGCAGCCGCGGUAAUACGGAGGGUGCAAGCGUUAAUCGGAAUUACUGGGCGUAAAGCGCACGCAGGCGGUCUGUCAAGUCGGAUGUGAAAUCCCCGGGCUCAACCUGGGAACUGCAUUCGAAACUGGCAGGCUUGAGUCUUGUAGAGGGGGGUAGAAUUCCAGGUGUAGCGGUGAAAUGCGUAGAGAUCUGGAGGAAUACCGGUGGCGAAGGCGGCCCCCUGGACAAAGACUGACGCUCAGGUGCGAAAGCGUGGGGAGCAAACAGGAUUAGAUACCCUGGUAGUCCACGCCGUAAACGAUGUCUACUUGGAGGUUGUGCCCUUGAGGCGUGGCUUCCGGAGCUAACGCGUUAAGUAGACCGCCUGGGGAGUACGGCCGCAAGGUUAAAACUCAAAUGAAUUGACGGGGGCCCGCACAAGCGGUGGAGCAUGUGGUUUAAUUCGAUGCAACGCGAAGAACCUUACCUGGUCUUGACAUCCACGGAAGAAUUCAGAGAUGGAUUUGUGCCUUCGGGAACCGUGAGACAGGUGCUGCAUGGCUGUCGUCAGCUCGUGUUGUGAAAUGUUGGGUUAAGUCCCGCAACGAGCGCAACCCUUAUCCUUUGUUGCCAGCGGUUAGGCCGGGAACUCAAAGGAGACUGCCAGUGAUAAACUGGAGGAAGGU